rnacentral:rRNA from 1 species
UUGAAAAAUUAGCGGAUGACCUGUGGCUGGGGGUGAAAGGCCAAUCAAACCGGGAGAUAGCUGGUUCUCCCCGAAAGCUAUUUAGGUAGCGCCUCGUGAAUUCAUCUCCGGGGGUAGAGCACUGUUUCGGCUAGGGGGCCAUCCCGGCUUACCAACCCGAUGCAAACUGCGAAUACCGGAGAAUGUUAUCACGGGAGACACACGGCGGGUGCUAACGUCCGUCGUGAAGAGGGAAACAACCCAGACCGCCAGCUAAGGUCCCAAAGUCAUGGUUAAGUGGGAAACGAUGUGGGAAGGCCCAGACAGCCAGGAUGUUGGCUUAGAAGCAGCCAUCAUUUAAAGAAAGCGUAAUAGCUCACUGGUCGAGUCGGCCUGCGCGGAAGAUGUAACGGGGCUAAACCAUGCACCGAAGCUGCGGCAGCGACACUGUGUGUUGUUGGGUAGGGGAGCGUUCUGUAAGCCUGCGAAGGUGUCCCGUGAGGGAUGCUGGAGGUAUCAGAAGUGCGAAUGCUGACAUAAGUAACGAUAAAGCGGGUGAAAAGCCCGCUCGCCGGAAGACCAAGGGUUCCUGUCCAACGUUAAUCGGGGCAGGGUGAGUCGACCCCUAAGGCGAGGCCGAAAGGCGUAGUCGAUGGGAAACGGGUUAAUAUUCCCGUACUUGGUGUUACUGCGAAGGGGGGACGGAGAAGGCUAUGUUGGCCGGGCGACGGUUGUCCCGGUUUAAGCGUGUAGGUGUGUGUUCCAGGUAAAUCCGGUUCACUUUAACACUGAGGCGUGACGACGAGGCACUACGGUGCUGAAGCAACAAAUGCCCUGCUUCCAGGAAAAGCCUCUAAGCAUCAGGUAACAUCAAAUCGUACCCCAAACCGACACAGGUGGUCAGGUAGAGAAUACCAAGGCGCUUGAGAGAACUCGGGUGAAGGAACUAGGCAAAAUGGUGCCGUAACUUCGGGAGAAGGCACGCUGACACGUAGGUGAAGUGAUUUACUCAUGGAGCUGAAGUCAGUCGAAGAUACCAGCUGGCUGCAACUGUUUAUUAAAAACACAGCACUGUGCAAACACGAAAGUGGACGUAUACGGUGUGACGCCUGCCCGGUGCCGGAAGGUUAAUUGAUGGGGUCAGCGCAAGCGAAGCUCCUGAUCGAAGCCCCGGUAAACGGCGGCCGUAACUAUAACGGUCCUAAGGUAGCGAAAUUCCUUGUCGGGUAAGUUCCGACCUGCACGAAUGGCGUAAUGAUGGCCAGGCUGUCUCCACCCGAGACUCAGUGAAAUUGAACUCGCUGUGAAGAUGCAGUGUACCCGCGGCAAGACGGAAAGACCCCGUGAACCUUUACUAUAGCUUGACACUGAACAUUGAGCCUUGAUGUGUAGGAUAGGUGGGAGGCUUUGAAGUGUGGACGCCAGUCUGCAUGGAGCCGACCUUGAAAUACCACCCUUUAAUGUUUGAUGUUCUAACGUGGACCCGUAAUCCGGGUUGCGGACAGUGUCUGGUGGGUAGUUUGACUGGGGCGGUCUCCUCCUAAAGAGUAACGGAGGAGCACGAAGGUUGGCUAAUCCUGGUCGGACAUCAGGAGGUUAGUGCAAUGGCAUAAGCCAGCUUGACUGCGAGCGUGACGGCGCGAGCAGGUGCGAAAGCAGGUCAUAGUGAUCCGGUGGUUCUGAAUGGAAGGGCCAUCGCUCAACGGAUAAAAGGUACUCCGGGGAUAACAGGCUGAUACCGCCCAAGAGUUCAUAUCGACGGCGGUGUUUGGCACCUCGAUGUCGGCUCAUCACAUCCUGGGGCUGAAGUAGGUCCCAAGGGUAUGGCUGUUCGCCAUUUAAAGUGGUACGCGAGCUGGGUUUAGAACGUCGUGAGACAGUUCGGUCCCUAUCUGCCGUGGGCGCUGGAGAACUGAGGGGGGCUGCUCCUAGUACGAGAGGACCGGAGUGGACGCAUCACUGGUGUUCGGGUUGUCAUGCCAAUGGCACUGCCCGGUAGCUAAAUGCGGAAGAGAUAAGUGCUGAAAGCAUCUAAGCACGAAACUUGCCCCGAGAUGAGUUCUCCCUGAGACUUAGAGUCUCCUGAAGGAACGUUGAAGACGACGACGUUGAUAGGCCGGGUGUGUAAGCGCAGCGAUGCGUUGAGCUAACCGGUACUAAUGAACCGUGAGG